rnacentral:misc_RNA from 1 species
GUAGGUGAACCUGCGGAAGGAUCAUUAACACGUAUCCAAACGUUAAAACCCCCCUGUGAAUCUUCAACACCAAUAAGGGUCCUGCAAAUGUUUGGGGCAACCCUAGUAAAUCAUUGUCUGUAUCAGAUUUUGAGUUAGGGGCUUGCUUCUCUGGGCACCGCGGUGAGCAGGUUUAGCUAUUUACGUCCCUGGCGGCUCUGAAGACUGUAUGAAGUGUCAGUGCACUUGUGUAAGGAGUUGGCGCAGUCAACGAAUCAACGGGCCGACACGGCCCUGCGACCGGGACCCUUUGAGCGGGUAAAACGGCUCCAACCAGAUGCAAAUAUCUGGCAUGACAUGAGAGAGGCACAAAAAAACAAACAACUGUUAACAAUGGAUAUCUUGGUUCUC